AGCUCUCUCACGGGAGGAUAGGGAAAAAUACAUAACACCUGUAUCUUGCUCUCCAAGAUUUUUUGGGGUCAUUCUUAUCCAUAUACACACAUACACAUCAGACACACACCAGGGAUCCUUCCUACUCAUUUUCCUCUCCGUUACCAAUAUAUAAGCACACACCCAGUUCAUUAUAGGGGGGACGAGAGAAAACGAGAGAGAAAGGGGGCGCAUUAUGAGUAAAAAUUGUCAGUAGCAGCCAAGACUCUCCUUUCUUCUCCAACUUAGCGUGGCCAUGAAAACUAGUAAAAACCUCCCAUAACUCCAGCAUCUAUCUUCCAUGAAAACACCAAUUCCCACCAUGAAACUCCAUAGAGCUGACCAUCACUGUCCACCCCCAAACUCCGGUUGAAAAACAGCUUCAAACACAACUAGAUCUCUAGCAAAACAACCCCCCAAAACCAGCCACUAAAUAGCCACAAAACAAUUCGUUUGAGUUUAAGUUCGAGACUUCCUUGUUCGAGGUUGUCGUCGUCAAAUUUUCCUGUCAGUUGAGUCUUCCGUUGGUUCCCAGGCGAGGUUUCGUCAUUGGCAAGGUCCCCGAUCUGAGAUCAGUGAGGGUUCCCGGCGAGGUUCUUUUUGGCUUCGAGUCAGAGUUUCCCUCUUUUCUGCUUUUGGAUAAUCGACAUGAUUUUCUGUACGUUGGCUUGGAGUUUUCUGCUAAUAUAAGUUUCGAACCGUUCGGAGAUCGGUACACGCGGGAUGGUAUUUUGGGAGUAUCGUUUGGCUUGCUCAAUAUUGGAUUCGGCUUGUUCGAGUUAUUGGCUAUUGGUGUUGGACUCCCACCUUUGUUCCAGCUCGUCACUACUUUCAACCUAAGGUUAGGCUUGUUACUUAUUGAGUACAUGGGGUCGGUUGUACUCAUACUACACUUCUGCAGCUUGAGUGCAAAUUUGGAUGCUGACGUUGAUGUGCAUGACGGGAGCUAGCAUUGAAGACGUACCUGCAUUCUGUUAUAGCUGCCUCUUGUUCAUGGUAGCUCUAGACUUACGAAAAAUCUGUUUAUGUAUUAUUCGGACAGAUGAUGUAUUUAUUCUGCACUAGCUUUCUAAACUCUAAAUCUUAGAAGCUCAUGAUUUGUACUACCAGCCCUUGGAAAAUUUUUGUAUAAAAGCAAUUGUAUUAUCAAUUCUUUUCUUGAUAAA